rnacentral:rRNA from 1 species
AAAGAAGUUGUUCAUCAGAUAAAAGUUACUUUAGGGAUAACAGAAUUAUAAAAAUCAAGCGAUCAGAGCGAAAUUUUUGUUUGUGACCUCGAUGUCGAUUUGUGGUAUCCUCGAGGCGAAGAAGUUUCGAAGGGUUUAACUGUUCGUUAAAUAAAACCGCACAUGAAUUGGGUUUAAAACGAC